GUCCUUUUAACACACUUGUGAAGUUGUGGCUUUCAAGAUACUUGCAGACUUUUGGCAGUAUUAUGUGUCUGUCUCAUUAGCCAUAUUAGUGCAUUAGCUGGUAGAAUUAGUGCCUCUAGUACCUCAUAUAAAUUAUAUAAACAAUAGCAGUGUUGACGUAGUUUUUACUUAGGCUUUUAAAAAGUAAAAACUUAGUGGAAGUGCAGAAGAGGUCUCUGUCACUCCUUUCUGCUAAGCUAAAGGAGCUGUCAGCAUGGGAGAUGCAGGACUUGCUUCUUGAAACGUGUCAGUGCUAUUACUAUUGAAGCAUCUCAAACAUGUCUUGUUUUUUUGACAGCAUUAGCACGCUGCAUUUCCUCCUGCAGCUGUGAUUUCUGAACAAGCAAAAAUACCAGCUGUGGGAAUCUCACCUCUCUCUUGCCCUAACAGACCCGAAUGCAGUUUCCUUCCCCUGUGUACCUGUCAGAAACUGGUGCUGGAGUUUACAAGCUUCAUUUUUUAAAUUAGCUACAGGGCACACGUUUAAUGUUCGGUCCUGCUGAGUGUGUGCCUUUGCCAUCAAUUACACUCCUUGUGUGUAAUUCUGAGCAAUGAGCGAUCCUCAUUGCUGGCUUGGGGCUGGAAUGCUGAGCACGGCUGUGUACAGGCCAUGUGAUAAUCUGUUCCCAGGAUUUGUGUUUAUCAUUACAGAGUUAGGUGAAUAAACAAACCUGCUGCAUGCUUCAGAAAGGAGUUACAAAGUUCAUAAAAUUCGUAGAAGAAAGCAUAUAGUUUUCUUUGUUUUGUAUAAAAAUGCAACCACAGAGGCAUACUGCAUGUUUGAAAAUGAGUGCUGUCUUUGCUCCUUGCUGUCUGGAAUGAGGAUAAAGAUGCGGUUUUCACCACACUGUGCCCUUGAUCUGGCUCAUGGUGCAGCUACACCUCUACCUGCACCAGCUGAGUGCAGGUUGAGCCAGGAAGGGCCCCUCAGGACUGUGGCACAGGGAAAUCCGUGUUGCAGGGAUGUUCAGAAAUUCAUCUUCUGCCAGGCACAGGAUUUUUUCUAGGUCAGAGAACGAACCAGAACCAGCAGAAAACUCACUGAGCUUGAACAUGGGAUACAGGCUCCUGGAUACAGCCAGAAAAAGGUUGGUUGUGCUUAGAGCAACUCAACAGAAUCUAAGGGCUGAAAUGGAGAAAAGGAAACUUUUUCUGGGAAGAAGUGUAAAUUCAGGUUCAGUGGAAAUCCUGGGAACGUAAUGAGAUUCUCUAAUACUGUUCGGACUUAAUGCAAAUGGUGGAACUCCACUGAAGCUGAACCUGCCUCCCUCAGAUCUGAGUUCUGCCGUUUAGAUCUUACAAAGUUUGCCUGCCUGGAGCUUAUUUUAGAUCACCACAUGCCACCUUGUGGCAAAUUAACAUGAUGCAUCUGUUCUUUUUCCAACUCUAAACCACUGCUUUUCUCUGUUAAGGUCCUGCCCUCGUUUUACAUUCUUUGGAUUGAUGUCGAGGCAAGAUGGGUUUCAUCUCCAGAGUUCCUGCCCUUCAUCUUGGUAGUUCUGCGAAGCUUGGAACCACCUGUUCAAUGCGGUAGUAUUUUGUAGUAUGAGGUUAGGCCAAAAUAAAGUGUGCUUCUCAGCAAGAUGUUCUGAGUGCUUCCCAGAAACCUUGCUAUUCAAAGCUCACAGCUAGCUGAAAAAUAAGUACAUGGGGAUAAUCCAAAAAGUUAUUGGAAAGAAUACGGAGUGUUUACCUUCAACCUUCUAUCUUUUUUUCUGCAUCCAGGUUGUCUGUGGCCCUUACCUCUUUUGCAUAAGCAUUGGAUUUAAAUGCUUUAUUCCUCUUUUUAUUUCCUGACAUCGCACUUUCUCACUAGAGAUAGCAGUGUUAUUUUCCAGCGUAAGCACAGCCUUUACAAAGAUGUUUCAGGUUUUUACUACAAGCCUUUCAUUUGCACUGUUUAUGAAGGCAUAUCAUACAUUGUAAAAUGUCUGUCUUGUUUGCUGGGAACAUCAGUGUGAUUGGAAAGAAACAAAAGACUACAAGGGAUAACCAGCAGAUGUAAUGAAACAAUGCCAAUAGCAAGAGAAAAGAGGCUGUUUCUGGGGCUAGGAAAGUCCUCAAUGGAAUGUGGUCAUGCUAUUAUGAGUUUGGAGAGUGGAUCCUAAAUACAAACAAGUUUGUAUGCACAUUCACUGGAGCUGGUGGAUCUUUUAGAUGCUGAGUAUUGUGCUGGAACUCAUUCACCUUUUUAACUUUCCACCUUUUCCUGGAAAAAUCAAGUAAUGCCCAUGGCUGCGAGGUUUCCAAGAUGUGUUGCCUGGACAGUGUGUUGGUGGCACCUCCUGCUCACCCCUGCUGUGCUCUGGCAUACAACAGUGUGAGGAUGGAGACCCCUCACUGCGAACUGGACUUUGUUUCAGGGCAGGACAAGUGCAGCAGAUAAAAUUCUGCUGCAUGUUGUGACCAGUUCAUGUCCUUUUAUUUGUUUUUUUGUAUAUCUGGUUCCUGUUUUUUCUAGAAAGGCAAGUGUUUCUCAGUCACAGUUACCAGUCUUCUCCCUAUUGCAUAGAGGUUUCUUGCUCUUACUGCUUUUAUUAUUAUUGUUGUUUUCAUGGGACCUUGUGUUGCAUUUCCUUAAUCUUUUGGGGUUUUGAGUGCUUCACAUUUGUUAGCUUCAAGACCUUAAAACUGUGCUUUGGCCUUUAUCGAGCUGAUAGCCUGAUAAGUCAAGUGAGAAGUUGUUUAGAGUAAGAUUGUUGUCACAAAGAGUAGUUGUCCUGUAGUUUACCUUAGCCACACUUUUCAUUAAAGGAUUUCUUUUUAAUAAUUACUGUGCCUCAGCAGAGAGCUAAUAAUCACCUCCUGUUUUACAGGAGCACAGGGGAAAGGCCUGAGUGUCUGGGGCUUUCAGUGGCUGUACUUUAAAAUCAUGAUUAAGAAACUUGAUAGUCACAGUCUACAGCUUUGACUCUGGUGAGUUCUUUCACAGAUCAGGGAAUACAGGAGCUUUGAGACCCUCUCCUCUCCUCUGUGUGUAGUGCGUGUUCUCCUUCCAGAAAGGUGUUACAGAAAUAACAUUGUGCAUGGACACUUGGUUCUGCAAGGACAUAAGCAACAUCAUAUGAUGAACCUGCUUUUCUACAACUAACUGUAAGUGGCUUUUCUGAUCCCACAAAGUUGAGUUAUUUUGUUUUUUAUAAGAAAUAGGGUGCUUUAAAAUUGUGAUUGAACUCAAGGAAACUGCAUUUGAUUUGCGGAUAUUAUGGAAGCAAUAAAAAAGAGUUAAAAAAAAAAAUCAGCAGUUUUCUGGAGAUUAUUUGUUCAGCUCUACUAUUAAUACUGUUUUGUUUGCCAGACUAUGAUCAAAAACAUUUGGCAGGCAAGACUUGCUCAGGAAAGUGAGCCAGUAGAGUUGAGCUGUCAUCCAAGUACGUACAGAAAAACUGUUCUCUUGGCAUGGAAAACAGACUGUUUACAGAAAUAAUAAACAUGCCCUCUAAAAUUAUGUUCCUUCUCUCUAAAAUCAUGGAAGGUCGCAAGACUUUGACCCUACAGAAGGAGCAUAACACUUUAUGAGACUUCUGUCAAAGCACAUGAUAAAAAAUAAAUACACUGUAAUAAAGAAGUGUCAGUCUGAUGGCUCAAAUGUGCCUUCCUAACAUAUCCUGUCUCCCUUCUUUCAGAUGUGGUAUGCACACUGCCACGCAAAGGAAGCCCAUCUGGAGGGGAUAUCAAAUCAAUCCAUUUUCUUGACGUAUCGGUUGAUGUAAUUAACUUUUGUUUCAUCUCCCAAGUAAACCUUGUAAACAAUAAAACGUGUCAAAGUGAAAUACAA